rnacentral:lncRNA from 1 species
GUCAACAUUGGGGUCUGCUGUGAGGCUCUUUGGGUAAAGCCAAUCACGUCUUAAUCACCAAAAGGAUUUUUCAGAAGCACUCUAGAACAUAUAAAUGAGGAAAAAGACUUGGUGAUUCAAAUUGGAUUGAAGAGAUGUCACCCCUACAGAAGAAAAGAUCAGAGCUUGAGAUUCACAUCUUCUGCUGAUUCAGAAUAUGUACUUGGACGUUGAUUUUAUUUGUGAACUUCUUCUUGCUUCUUCCUCCU